GUUUUCGGAUCAGGUCAGUGGCGCAAGGGUGAGUAAGGCGACGGCAACCAACCCCAUGGUUGGGCAUAGCCGCGGGAAACUGCGGGUAAUUCCCAGCGAAGUUCCGGUCGGGCAUCCGAUGGGAACCAAAGUUCCGGCGCCGUGGGACGGGCCGUCGUGGUAUUAGGUAGUUGUCGGGGUAAUGGCCCACCAAGCCGAUGAUGCCUACCGGGCGUGCGAGCGUGGCCCGGCACACUGGGACUGAGACACUGCCCAGACUCCUACGGGAGGCUGCAGUCGAGAAUCUUCGGCAAUGGGCGCAAGCCUGACCGAGCGACGCCGCGUGGAGGAUGAAGGCCUUCGGGUUGUAAACUCCUGUCGAGGGGGAGGAAGGGGUAACCUUGACCGAUCCCUGGAGGAAGCACGGGCUAAGUUCGUGCCAGCAGCCGCGGUAAGACGAACCGUGCGAACGUUAUUCGGAAUCACUGGGCUUAAAGCGCGUGUAGGCGGAUGGGGACGUCGGUUGUUGAAAGCCCCCGGCUCAACCGGGGAACUGGCACCGAAACGCCCCGUCUGGAGGGACGUAGGGGGACCUGGAACUUCCGGUGGAGCGGUGAAAUGCGUUGAGAUCGGAAGGAACGCCCGUGGCGA
rnacentral:rRNA from 1 species